UCGGCUUCUCGACCUUAUGACUAAGAUCAAAGUGUAGUAUCUUUUCUUAUCAGCUUAACAACUAAGAGACUUCAGUGAAGUCACAAAUAUUAACCUGAUUUUUGGAAAUAGGUAGAGUGCUAGGCCUUUUUCCCCCACUCAAUCACGAAUUGGCCUAAUAGUACAACUAGUCUUGGGCUCAAUAAAAAAAAU